rnacentral:rRNA from 1 species
CUACGGGUGGCUGCAGUGGGGAAUAUUGGACAAUGGGGGCAACCCUGAUCCAGCCAUGCCGCGUGAGUGAUGACGGCCUUAGGGUUGUAAAGCUCUUUCGCCGGUGAAGAUAAUGACGGUAACCGGUAAAGAAGCCCCGGCUAACUUCGUGCCAGCAGCCGCGGUAAUACGAAGGGGGCUAGCGUUGUUCGGAAUUACUGGGCGUAAAGCGCGCGUAGGCGGGCUGUUAAGUCGGGGGUGAAAUCCCGGGGCUCAACCCCGGAAUUGCCUUCGAUACUGGCAGUCUAGAGUCCGUGAGAGGUGAGUGGAACUCCGAGUGUAGAGGUGAAAUUCGUAGAUAUUCGGAAGAACACCAGUGGCGAAGGCGGCUCACUGGCACGGUACUGACGCUGAGGUGCGAAAGCGUGGGGAGCAAACAGGAUUAGAUACCCGCGUAGUC